rnacentral:rRNA from 1 species
UACGGAGGGUGCAAGCGUUAUCCGGAUUCACUGGGUUUAAAGGGUGCGUAGGCGGACAUAUAAGUCAGGGGUGAAAUCCUGCAGCUUAACUGCAGAACUGCCUUUGAUACUAUCUGUCUUGAAUGUCGUGGAGGUUAGCGGAAUAUGUCAUGUAGCGGUGAAAUGCUUAGAUAUGACAUAGAACACCUAUUGCGAAGGCAGCUAACUACGCGAAUAUUGACGCUGAGGCACGAAAGCGUGGGGAUCAAACAGG